rnacentral:rRNA from 1 species
AUGAACGCUGGCGGCGUGCCUAAUACCUGCAAGUCGCGCGAACGGACGAGAAGCUUGCUUCUCUGAUGUUAGCGGCGGACGGGUGAGUAACACGUGGAUAACCUACCUAUAAGACUGGGAUAACUUCGGGAAACCGGAGCUAAUACCGGAUAAUAUUUUGAACCGCAUGGUUCAAAAGUAAAAGACGGUCUUGCUGUCACUUAUAGAUGGAUCCGCGCUGCAUUAGCUAGUUGGUAAGGUAACGGCUUACCAAGGCAACGAUGCAUAGCCGACCUGAGAGGGUGAUCGGCCACACUGGAACUGAGACACGGUCCAGACUCCUACGGGAGGCAGCAGUAGGGAAUCUUCCGCAAUGGGCGAAAGCCUGACGGAGCAACGCCGCGUGAGUGAUGAAGGUCUUCGGAUCGUAAAACUCUGUUAUUAGGGAAGAACAUAUGUGUAAGUAACUGUGCACAUCUUGACGGUACCUAAUCAGAAAGCCACGGCUAACUACGUG